UGCUCUGAUACCAACUGUGACAUCCCCAAUUUCAAGAGAAAAAAGACUGAUUUGUUUAUGCUUUAUUUAAAACUAGAGUAUCCUUUUGAAGAAUAAUAUUGUAGAAUUCGUUCCCAAAAUAUGAUAAAGAUAUUAUAAAAGAAUCUUCGAAGAAAUAUAUUUUAAUUAUAUUAAAAACGUUGGGAUGUCAUCGUCAAUACAAUAUGUAAGCAUAAACGGAAAUAAUACAUGUCUUACAAACAUCUAUUAUUCUAUUGACCUAUAAUCCAUAAAUCUCUCAUCUGUUCAUCACACUUCUGCUCUUGUUAUGCUCCCUGUAAUACAAGAAACUAAAUGGGUCAAGCUUGGGAUCCUGGUGAGCACAUAAGUUUUCAACCCAUAAUAAUUAAAUUCUUUAUUUUUAUCAAAUCAUUCAACCUGAUUACCAUGGGGGGAUGGAGUACCAUGGGUGAACAUUUAGUUCAAAUAUGCCUACAGUUUGUGAGUCUGCCAGUGUUCCACUAGGCGAUCUAGAAUGGUUUGCGGUCGUCAUCUAUACUCUGUUAGAUGACUGGAUCAUCUUUAAAGUCAAGGCCUCUCAUCAUUUAUCUCAUUUUUCAUCUUAUAUCAUCUUUCAUCUACCCAUCUUUACCCAACAUAUUUAUAGGUAUAAUAUAUAUAUAUAUANAUAUAUAUAUAUAUAUAUAUAUAUAUAUAUAUAUAUACAGUUUAAAUCAAGUAGAACAUGUAUAAAUCGUUCAUCCAUCAUAGAUAUUAGGAACAUAGAUAAUAGGCACAUAUAGCAUGUAAAUAAUUCAUAUCUAUGUGUUAGAUGAAAGUAACUAUGCACCCACUUGUUAAAGCGAUGACCCAAAACUCGGACAACGCUUUGCUUCUAGCAAUUUUCUUUUCCUUUGACGUAACCUAGUAUCAUUAUCACUAAGUCUUAGUAUAAUAUUUCUUGCUACUAAUCAUUAGUCUAGAUUAAUCAUUAAUUCAAAGUCACAAAUUGGUACAAAUGACAGCAACCACCAUGUGGAGGGUUGAUUAAUCAUUAAAGCGAUGACUCAAAACUCGGGAAACCGUGAUCGAGGGUUGAAGUCGACAUCAAUGACAGCAACCACCAUGUGGAGACCAACGAGGGUGCUAUGACCUCAACCACAGGGGACCGACUGACAGAGCCCUCCCGGCGAAGACCCGGCAGAUCGUGAACAUCGGGGAUUAAAACAGGAAGACUACAACCUGAGUUCAGAAAACUGCACACUACUACAGACCCUGCCGUCUCACGUACCUGAAACUCAGAAAAAGACUACUAUUUUAGAGGCCAACUCUCUCCUUAGGACCUUAUCGCCACUCGGGCAGAAGUAAAAGAGUAACAGGGUAGACACACGACAUUCAAAGAGGGGAUGAUUGCAACCAAGCGUCGAAUUGCAAAGCUGCAAGGUGCAUCGAUUUUGCCUCAGGCAUCACAAGGGACGGAUCGUCAUAAGUGAAUCUAUACCGCUCACGAGACCCUGUAAAUUAAGAUCAUGAGUACACGUUGGUGCUACUUUAUUCUAGGUGUAAACAUGACACUGUGAUUUAAGCGGUCAUAUUAAUCGAGAGAUCUAGUUGCUAUCAGAACUUUUCCUUGCAUAGAUGUGAGGUAGACCUGCAUCGAAGUCAAAAUUUUCACUGAAACCAUAAUUACUAGAAUCAUAUUAACAAGAUGGGCUUAGGACAUACCUAACAGACUCGAAGGUCUAUUUAGUCUUUAUUAUAUAACUAAGCAUACAUCAAUUGGUCACUAUAAGGACCUAGCUUGGGUCAAAUUACAAAGUUUCACUUGGGCACAGAACUACUAAAAUACAUGAGUUUAUCAUAUAUAGGCUCUCGUUAUGAAAUGUUUUCAGAACACCAUAAAGCAACCGAAAUAUGUUACAAAAUGAACUAAGAUAAACUUAGUUAGAAAACUCGCGACGCAUAGCCCUUUCUAACGACUCAUUAUCGUCUCACCUUUAAACAUUUUGGUGAAAGGGUGCCUUCUUCGUAGACCUAUAGGGUGCGACCAUACCAUCACUAAUGCACCAGAUCCCAUCAAAACUCCUCAGCUAAGUGUGUUUGGACAAACAUGAUCCUAAGUUGAGUAAAUCUUAACGCCCGUACAAAACCUACCAAAACUCAUGAAAUUCAUUCAUAUGGACUUCCCUUAUGAAUUACAUGCAAGACAUUCUUAAGUCGGAGCAUAAUACAGAAAAUCUAGUUCAAUAAUAACCGACUUGUCUUUACUACUGGGAACUUACCAUCUGAUCAUUUUUACAAACUUAUGACAGAACUAUGCCACCAAGGAAAAGACCCAGACCUUCCGACAGCACAGCACCACCACCUCCAACGCCACCUCCACAGUUUGAUCCCGCAAUGUUCCAAGCUGCAGUAACAGCAGCCGUGGCAACUACAAUGUCACAAAUUGGUACAAAUGGUACAAAUGGUACCGGUGGUGCUGGAUAUGGAGCCACAAACUCUAACCACGGGGACAGUACAGGACGUACGAGGGAAUGUUCGUACAAGGACUUUACUAGUGCUAAACCCGAUUCUUUCAAUGGAAGCGAGGGCGUCAUCACCUUGAUGUAAUGGUUCGAAAAGACCGAAACGGUCUUUGAAAUUUGUGCAUGCCCCGAGGCAAGCAAGGUCAAAUUUGCAGCAUACACUUUCUCUGGCCGUGCCCUCACUUGGUGGAAAAGUCACGUUAACUCACUAACGCUUGCAGUGGCUAACUCGUUAAGUUGGGAAGACUUAAAGAAGAUGAUGCUGGAAGAAUAUUGCUCAAGAGGUGAAGUGCAAAAGCUGGAGCAAGAACUGUGGGAUCUCAAAAUGACAGGCUCCGACAUUACAACUUACACCACCCGAUUCUGUGAUCUAGCACUCCUUUGUCCCGCAAUGGUCACCCUGGAAGACAAAAAGUUGGAGCGAUACCUCUGGGGAUUGUCCCCCGAAAUUCAAGAUAGCGUGUUGGCCUCAAGACCAACUACCUUCGACAGCGCCAAGGAGUUGGCACAGCAACUCAUCGACCAUCGUGCCAGCCAUGACACUACGACAACCACCCUUAACCAAGCAAGAGGAGGGAACAACAAAAGAAAGUUUUGGGACAACAAGAAGGACCAACCAGCCCAGGACUUCGCUAAGAAGCAACAGAUUGUUACUGUUCAUGCUGCCACAACCCUCACCGCGCCAACUCCCAUAAAAGAAUACGCUGGAACCCUUCCGAAAUGCAACAAGUGUAACUUCCAUCACACUAGGGCUUGACGGAAGAUGCAUUGCAAAAAUUGCGACAAAGAGGGGCACACUGUCCGUUUCUAUAAGGCACCAGCACGACCCAUCAACCAGGUCCCUGGCUUUGGAGUAUACCCAGCCUGUUACAAGUGCAGAGAAACGGGACACUUUAAAAGGGACUGCCUAAGAGCAAGAGAUGUCAGUGAUGGUGGAAGGGUGCUUGCGAUCACCGCAGGAGAGACCACCCCGGAACUGCCCGUAAAUAUCAGUACGUGUUUCUAACAUCGACGUUAAAAUUCUAAAUUUCUUUGUUUGCUAAAUCUAGCAUCGAUUAAAGUAUAUCGACCAUUAAUCUCGAGAACACGGCAAAACUCAAAUAAGUCUUAUCGCCUAUAUAAAAACACAGGGUUUUUACUAGUGAGUCUAUGAUGGCUAGUGUAAACAUUAUGGUCAUAUAUCAUUAAGAUUCUAUGGACUUAGAAUGCGUGAUUCCACCUCAUUCCCUGUUCCUUGUUUGGUUGUGGGCUUAAGGCGGGGUCACCCAUCCGAAUGCCCUUGCAAUCUUAAUGAUAUGCGACUAGUUUACACCAAGCGGUUAUAAAGGAACUGGUAGGAUUUAUAAUACAUAUUUCGUCACAAUUUGUGAAAAAAUCGUAAUGACGGAACUUGCUAACUAAGUUAUAAAGUAUUCAUAGUGGUAAUGCCAAGGAUUAAACAGGGAGCAUAAACAAUAAGAAAUUCGAAGGUCGUCAUGUGACAUCAGGCGGGUUGUUCCUCACUAUAAUCAAUUUCUUGUACUACAAAAAGUUUCCCCCAUCUUUCCUCUAAAUUCUUGAAUCCCCAAUCAAAAUGCAAAUUUCGGGACGAAAUUCCCUCUAACGGGGGGAUGAUGUGACAACCGUCAAUUUCCGGUCGAGUCAAAGUCAACUAAAGUCAACAAGUCAAACCAGUCGACUCAAUUAACCCUUGCGUACUAGGGUUUACGCUAUGUUAUUUCCAUACAACUCGCUAUUCUAAUGAGAAAUCACCAAAGGAAAAGUUCGUAUAUCUAUAUUUCAUUAACCUAAAACGGCGUUAAGUAAGGAACCAGACCGAUAAAACAAUGUUGCAUACUCAUCGGGAGUGUGUAAGAUCCUUAAACAUGGCUUAACGGGGCUUACGGACCUUGCGUUGCGGAGCCAAACACUCACAAAUGUCACACACGAAACCUCUCUCAAUCGUUUUCACUCUAUCUCUCUUUAUCUAGAAUCUCUCCCAAAUCUCUCUAAGUAUGAGAAAUCUCUCCCAAAUCUCUCUAAGUAUGAGAAAUCUCUCCCAAAUCUCUCCAAGUAUGUCAAUCUCUCCCAAAUCUCUCCAAAAUGUCAAAUCUCUCCCAAAUCUCUCUUUGUAUGAGAAAUCUCUCCAAGAAUGAGGAAUCUCUCCCAAAUCUCUCUCCAUAUGAGAAAUCUCUCCAAGUAUGUGAAAUCUCUCCACAUAUGUCAAACCUCUCUCAAAAGUUCCUUAAACAUUUUGUAGUCUUUCGGGCCAUCCCGACCCUUAACCAGGUCAAAAACCGCUUAAAACAGGGUAAAAACGGAUAAAAUAGACGUAAGGACCCGAAACCCCUCUUAAGGAGUCGAACCCUCUUAAGGACUCGAAACCCCUUUUAGGAACCGAACUUGUCAGAAGCGAAGGCAUCAGAAGCGAAGGUGUCAGAAGCGAACCCCCCUUCGGACCGAAGCUCGGCCGACCGAACCUCGCACAAGGAACCGAAGGUACCUUCGGUCCAUUUCGCCUCCUACCCUUUCGCUCCAUUUCGCCUUCGGCCCUGCAGCAGAAGGGACUGAACCUCGGCCUAGGACCGAGAGGCCUCGCAGGAAGCUCUUUUUCACCUGGUUUUCGACUAGUUUUGCGUUUUGGGCCCGUUUUUAAUUGUUUUAACGCGGGAUUUUCACCGAAAACUUUAUUUUAACAUAUAAGGCCCCAUAUUUAUUAAUUAAUCACAUUUUUAGGGAUAAAUCUUAUCCAAGAAGAGUGAGUGAACUACAAGAGGUGGAGUGUUGAGUUUUCUUUAGUUAUGACACAAGCAACCACCGACACCCACUCCAUGACCAACCACACUCCUUCCACCAUACCUAGGUCAUGCCAAAGUACUUUAUCAUGAUUUCCAGCCAUUUCCCACGUUCUUAGAGAUGGAACAUCCAUCCUCUCUCCUCACACUCCAUUCAUUCUCUCAUUUUCUCUCAUUCUUCCAUCAAGAUCAAACUUCAUUUUCUCUCUCUAAAAUUCGAGAUUCAAGGCCAUUCUCCAAGCUUUUAUUCUACUUUUGGUAAUUAUUAACAUCCUCCAUACGAUUAUUACACCCUAUUCUACUCCAAUCAUAGAUUGCUUACACAAAUUCCAUCAUUUUGGUGUUAGAUUCUCAAAAAUCUUCAAGGCAUCUUCAAGUGUUCUUGAGUUAAACACUUCUUUUAUCCAUCAUCCAUCUACUGAAAUCACAUAAGGUGAGUUCAUAACCCUAUAAUUUCAUGUUUUCUUAAGUUUUAAGGGGGGGAAUACAAGUUAAAACACCAAGAACGCAACUAAACUCAUUUAACAGCCUUCAUCAGAAAAGUUCAACUCCAUUCACAGACUGUUUUGGGCAGCUUAAACAUUUUAGUUUUCAAAACUGUUCUAGGUGCAAGUAGUUCCAGUUCUUAGCUUUAAAAUGACUACUUGCACAUCUCCACAUGAUUUUUCUACAAUUUCUGGUGAUUUUUGCAAAACAGCCUAUCAUUUCAAGAACAAAUUUGGACCAGUCUGUGAAUAUGAACAUUUUAACACAAGUUAAAGACUUCCAAAAAUCAUGAUAAAAAUUAUGAAUAAACUAGACACAUUUUAGGAACUCUCAGAAUUUACGGAUUCAGUUUUCGACUUCGUAUAAUUUUUCUAUGAUCUUUCUAAAACAGUGCAGAAAAGUUAAAAACUAGUUAACAGCUUUUAACUUUCAACACACUUUGUAACAUGUUGAGCAAAGUGUUAAAUCUUUGAUGACUUCAUAUUUUACAUGCGUUUCUUGUUGUGGUAUAAAUAUAUAACAGAAAAUACUCACUGAAUUGUAAGAAUCCUCCAUCAUUACCAUUACUACAAAACAAAGCAAGAUAAACAUAGUUAUAUUUUGCUAUACAUUCAACUUACAUAGGAAAGGGUUCUUAUAUAUACAACACAAACAAACAUACUAAACUAUAACAGGUAUAGUUAGGUUGCCUAUACAUUUCAAACAUCUUGAUAAACUAUAAUAGGUAUGGUUUAUGUUCAUUUACAUUACAAAAGGUUUUCAUACGAAAAAGGGUACAAAUACAAAGUACCGGUUUUAUACGAAAAGGGGUACAAAUACAAAGUACCGGUUUUAUACAAAAAAGGGGUACAAAUACAAAGUACCAGGUUUUAUACGAACAAGGUGUGACAACCCAAGUUGUUCCGUUACAUUUCCCUGUUACCGUUAACGGAAUAUUCCAGUUUAUAAAAGUUCCGUUAAUUAAAGGUCGACAAUUUAAUAAACAUUUCAAUUGUUUACAUUUAAUAUGUCAUUAAGUCGUGAUAAAAGGAAAUAAAAACACAUAACACACAUUUCCAUUUAAAUGGAAAAAGUUAGUUUUUAUUAUUACGACCACUAAAUCGGAUGCGACCAAAAGCCCCAUAUAACGAGUAUUGGGGNUUCCACUGAGCUCCAACUCCCACCCAUAUAUAAAGAGGAGUAAACUCCAUUUGGAGCUUUUCCACCCUCUCUCUCUCUAUACUCUCUCUCUCUCUCUCUAGACUCGUUUUCGCCCCAAAUCCACAACCAAACGCUUCCAAAUUGUAAGUCCACUUACCCUAACUUACUCUAAACAUUAUGAUUCGUGUUUAUAGCUUAGAAUUGGACCAUUUAAGCUGCUGAAAAGGAGUUCACGGCCUAAGCUCCUCCUUAGGCCGUAAACACCUUAAAAGAGGCCAAAAUGACCCCAAAAUGUCCCUAAAGGCUUGGAAAUAAAUUGAGGUAUUAGCCUAGGAGUGUUUAAACAUUAAAACACAUGGAUUUAGGGGAUAAAAGAGAGUUUAUGGCCCAAACACAUGCUUGGGCCGUAAACACCUCUUAAACAUGUCAAAAAGCCCCAAAAACACUCCCAAAUCACCCUUAGGCUUCAUACAUAAUUUAGGGACUUGGUAUUUUGGGUUUAAACCAUUUAAACACAUCGAAAUGAAGGGGAAAAAGGAGUCUAUGGCCCAGGUAUGUACCAAGGCCGUAAACACCCCUAAAUGUGCCAAAAUGAUAGUUUUAAUUCCCCCAAAUGGCCUGACACUUCAUUAUAAGUUACUAGCAAGGUAUUAGGGGCUUGAAACUUCACAAAACUCAAGGAAUGAGAGUUUACGGCCGUAAACUCCCUUAGGAGUUGUCCCUGGGCCGUAAACUCCAUUAAGAUGCCCUUAAAGACCUUAAACCCACUCAUACUAUAUAGUUUUGGACCUAGACUAAUUCCAUGAACAAGUUAGAAGCCUUAAAACACACUGGAUACCCUCACCAUGAGUUUAUGGCCGUAAACUCAUGGUGAGUAGUCCCUGGGCCGUAAACUACAUAUUAAGGGAUUACUCUCGGAGAGUAAACUCCAUUCCUAAGCCAUACACACCCUUAGACGCUACCCGGGACACCCAAACACUUAUCCAAAGUGUUUUCCGUUCCUUUGAGCGCGUAUAUUUGUUUAAUUAGUAUUAAAUAUACUAAUUGUAUGUGAACAUAUGUUAUCAUAUGUUAAAUAGGUCAUUGAGUGUGUUCGAGUCCUUACGUGACACCGAACGCCCAAACGGCACCUUCGUCGGACCUACUUACACCAGGUGAGUUCAUACCCCUGAAUGAACCUUUUAAUGUUUUUACAUGUUUUAUAGGGGGGAAUACAAGUUAAACAUGUCAGUUAUCAUAUCAAUCACAUGUGAUUGAUAACCCGCAUGCACAAGAUUUUACCACACUGUACACUGUUUUACCGAGUAGGACACUAUAAUGGUUUUCAAAAAGGUUUUUCGUUUGUUUCAAGACUCUUAUUUAUACUGCUUUAUUUAAAACUCACUUUAAACUGGUUUAUAAAGGUUUUACAAGAUUUUAAUCAAAGUUCUCUUUCACAACGUAUACUUUUACUUGUUAGUUACUGCUGCUUCGCUUAUACUUAUUUUAUACUCCUACUUGGUAACGCUUUCACUUCUUGAAGCGCUUAUACCUGUUAUUGUCUCUAUUUCACUUAUACUUGUAGUCGCUUAUACCUGAUAGACGCUCUUACUUCACUUAUUGUCGUCUCUACUUCGUGAUACGCUUAUACUUGUUCGACACUCCUACUUCACUUGCGACCGCUCCUACUUCACUUGUUAGACACUCCUACUUCACAAGAAUCACUUCUACUUGAUACACACUCAGUCGUAGUUAGAUGUAUGUCUGUGCUUAUAUAGGUACAUAUAAGUAAUGAUUGAAAGACUUAGGAAGGCUCGUCCGCCCUAUUUCCUUUUCUUCGUUGAGAUGUGGUCUGGUGGGAUCGGAUGGCCGUCCGAAGGUCGUUUGAUUCAUUAGUUAUAUAUUAUGUAUAUGAGUAUGGACAUACAGGAAUUCUCUAGUCAGUUCAGUUAAGAGUCUCUACCUCUAGUCUACACUUACAUUAGAAACACACUACCCACUAUUUGGAAGUCUCUACCUCUAGUUCAGCACUUACACACUACCCACUAUUUGGAAGUCUCUACCCACUAUUUGGGAUGCAUCUUCAGGACACGGCCUUCUCCGUCGUCUAGUUGGUAACCAGAAUCUCCUGUAGGGAGAGCGGACAUUGUGUGUAUAGAUCUAUACGGGAUUGACAACCCCGCACCCAGACUGCUAGCUACAGUCCCGGCCUACCAAGCCAACGGGUGACAAAUGUCAUAUUUUAGACGCUUGUAGGGCGUCUGGUACUCUAGUCAGUAUGGUUACGAGUAUCCCGGGUUACCUUAUAAUUCAUUGGCCUUAAGGUAACGGUAUUUCACCGGCAAUUUACACUGUAUGCUGGUAAUUCAUUUUCAGAGUCACACUGUUUUGACCUUACAAGACGUAUCUUUCAUUUGAUACUGUCUGGGGUCUGUAUUCUCUGUUUUGACCUUACAAGACGUAUCUUUCAUUUGAUACUGUCUGGGGUCUGUAUUCACUGUUUUUGACCUUACAAGACGUAUCUUUCAUUUUAUACUGUCUGGGGUCUGUGUCUCUAUUUGUUAGACUGAACCAGGCGUGUCGUUCAUUCGAUACUUUCCUGGAGUCUAUGAUUCCUUGCCUUAGUCAGCAGUCCUCACUGCUGAGGCAUAUGUUAUUCCCUGAUGUCGUUUGCUUUCCUCAAUAAUCAAAUUCAGUAUUUUGAUAAUGAUAGCAAUUUAGGGAAAAUGACUUUUUACCACAUAACACUGACCAGUCUUGGUAGAAGGCUGCUUUAUUAAAGAAAAUAUAGGAUUUUCUGGAAAGAACUUUAAUACACAGUAAACACUUAAACUACUACUUUAUAAAGUUAUUUGGAUAAAUGUCAUUAAAUACUUAUGAACUCACCAGCAUUUGUAAAAAUGUUGAUACUCGCUUUUCAAAUAACUUGUAUUCUCACGUUAGCAUUAGACAGGUACAUCCCAGGAGCUGUUGAUGAAGAUAGCUUAGUACCGCGCUGUAUUUAUUCUAUUACUUGUAUUACUUUGAUGUAUUAAUGUAACCAUGUAAAACUAUUACUAUUAAUGCAAUGUUUUGUUGUACUUUGAUUGCUAUAAUGCAUGUGUUGUGAUACUUGACAUGACGUCAUCCACCCUAGAACGUUUCCGCCGUUCCGGUUUUGGGGUGUGACACAAGGGUACAAAUACAAAGUACCGGCUUUAUACAAAAAGGGGUACAAAUAUAAAGUACCAGGUUUUAUACGAAAAAGGGUACAGAUACAAAGUACCGGUUUUAUACAAAAGGGGGUACAGAUACAAAGUACCAAGUUUUUUUUAUACAAAAGGGGUACAAAUACAAAGUACCAGGUUCACAUGAAAUAGUUUUUAUGAUAUUAAAACUAUAUUUCAUCUAGAAUUGUUAGACUUCAGCUAUAAUUGCUAAGUGUAUAUGCUAGAGUUAUAUAAGAAUCUAGUCACAAUCGACUUACAAUUGGUGGGCCCGCCAUAUCUCCUGUUCCUUGUUUGGUUGUGGACCUGUGGCAGACCCAUUAUAUUCAACGGGUUAUUCAACUAAAAUUUUUAUAUAAUUCAUAUACGCUGAGUGAUUAUAGAAGGAAUCUAUGGGUCUUUCUAGGAUUCAUUAUCGCAUAUCAUAGAAGCAUUCAUUUCAUACAUAAUAAGGAAAAUAUUGGAUUUUCUGGAAACAUACUUUGUUGCUUUUACAAGGAAAACAGUUUCAUUCUAAAACAAAACUCUUAUGAACUCACCAACUUAAUUGUUGACACUUUUUCAAAACUACUUGUAUUCUCAUGAAAUCAGUGAAACAGGAAAAUCAACAACAUUUUGAGGAUGGGACGAUAAAUCGUCAAACAUUUCAUUUUGUCAUCAUAAUGUAAUUGAUUUUGAAACAUGUAAACUUGCUAUGAUGUAACUUUCUCAAUUAUAUUUAUGAUGGUUGUAUUUACUUUGAGCACUAUUAUACUCAUUGUUGUGAUACUAUAUAUGAAGUCCUCCACCCCCGAACGUUUCCGCCAUCCUUGGUUUGGGGGUGUGACAAAACAUAACUUGAUUUAUAGGUGGUUAGCGAAAAAACUGAUUUUGCACAGACAAAACUUCUAAAAUAAAAUCUCUAUUUCUCGGGGAUUUCUAAUGAUCCAGAGCUUCGCUACUAACCCUUAGGAAGUACUAGAACAAGUCCUAGGAACCUUGGGGGGUUUGGGAGAGAUUGGAAUAAAGAUGUGUGAGGAAAUUGGUGAAAUUCAGCCUUUAUUUAUAGACUACCAGAAACCCAGUAUGUUGGGCAUACUACAAAUUAUAAUGUGCGUAAUGGUUACGCUGGGCAUACAUAAGUAUUACAUUGGGUAUAAUAUGCUACAUGUCGUCAUCUGAUCGCAAGUCGUGAGGAGGAAGGGGGUGUGCCAGAUCGUGACACGUGUCGCACCCUUGUUAAUCCAAAAAUUAAUUUCCUGUAAAAUUCAUAACUUUUUGCAUAUGAGCUCCAUUUUUGACGUUCUUUAUAUCCAUGCGUAGCUAUUGACAGGAUCUACAACUUUUGUUUAGACUCUGUCAGCUAAUUUUGAAUUUAUUUUUAAAAUUAUAUUUUAAUAGACUCAAACAGUUAAAGUUCGUUAAAAAUUCAUAACUUUGUCAUCCAACGUCCGUUUUCGACCGUCUUUAUAUUAUUGAGUUCAUAUUAAUGAGAUCUUCAGUUCUCGUUUAUAUUGUUUCGGCUAAUAAUCGACCAAUCUAAUAUUCGAUUUCUGAGUUGUAUUAAGUUACGUUGAAUCUUCGAAAAAUCACAACUUCCUCUAAUGAAGUCAGAUUUGGAUGUUCUCUAUAUGCACGCUUUCGGUUUAAUGAAUAUUACAAAUUUCGUUUAGACCACUUAGGCUAAAAAGUAAUUUAUCAAAAAUUUACUUUUUACGAUACGUAGAGUUGUGCCGGUUUAAUCGUGAAACUUCAACGUGACAUAACUUCUUUGUAAUAAGUCGGAUUGGAGCUUUCCUUAUAUCUCCGAAAUCCUUGUCACGACUACUUCACCUUUAGUCAAAGAUAUUAGGUCUAAUUAUUAUUUUAUUUUAGACGCAUAUUUAUUCGUAUUUUAUUAUAUCUUAAUAAACACGUAUAUUGCACAUAAAUUACAUAAUACUCAGAUAUUUCUUCCUUAAUUGCAUCAAAUAGGUUACAAUUGUUGACUCUAAUUAUUACAUCAUCUUAUUAAUGCUUAGCGAGAAACACGAGCUUUAUAAGAUCCCACCACCCAAAUCUAUUAAGACAUGAAGAUAAGGAACAAAUCAAGAGAUCUAGUAACAUAGCAAAGAAAAGGUUGGAUCUUGGACACUCACCAAUGUCCAACAGAUAUGCUAUCUGAAGGAAAUGAUGCUUGCCAGGUAACUACCACAACAAGGUCCUCCUUCUACUUCAAAAAAUCACCAAAAACACCAAUAAUGAGCUCACAACUUCAAUGGAGGAUACGGUUAGGGUUUAUGAGUUUGAGAGGGUGAUGGAGGCUGAAUGAUCACAAAUCCCUAGCCUUAAUGUUCUUUAUAUAGGACCUUAUGACAUUCCCAAAAUCACGGCCAGAAAAGACCGGUUUGUUUAUGCUUUGUUUAAAAAUCAGAGUUACAUUUUUAAAUGAAAGUGUUGCGGAAUUUGUCCCAAAACAAAAAUAUGAUAAAGAUUUAUCAAAAGCAUUUCCAUAGAAAUGUAUUUCAUUAAAAGACUCGGGAUGUCAUGUUCGUACAGAUCAAAAGCAUAAACAGUACAAUAUAAGCCUUACUACAUUAUUUCAUAUCUACAGGCCUAUAUCCGUAAUCCCUCGUCCAAAACAUCACACCUAUGCUCAUGCGCCACUACCUGUAAUACAAGAAACUGAGUGGGUCAGGCUUGGGAGCCUGGUGAGCACAUAGGGUUUUCAACCCACAAUAAAUAAGUUUAUUAAUUUCAUCGAUCAACAAUAACCCGAUUACCCGUUCCCGUUAUCCUCACUUUACGUCCCUAAACACCUAUCAUAAGGGACCUAGCCUAAGGAUCAUCAUCGGGACGGACACUACUGCUAAGGGGAUUCCUUGGCAAUAAAUGUCCUAAAGGCAACCAUGUGGGGGAUGGAGUACACCGGUGAACACAUCGUUCACAAACACCUACAGGUUGCGAGCCUGCUAGUGUUCCACUGGACUGUCUAGAAGAGUCCGUGGUCGUCAUCCAUACUCCGCUAGAUGACAGAAACAACAACAUCAACAUCGAGGCCUCUCAUCAUUUUAUCACACAUCACCUAUUGCAUCUACCCAUGUUUUACCCCAACAUUUU
rnacentral:lncRNA from 1 species